AGAGUUUGAUCCUGGCUCAGAUUGAACGCUGGCGGCAUGCCUAACACAUGCAAGUCGAACGGUAACAGGCAGAGCUUGCUCUGUGCUGACGAGUGGCGGACGGGUGCGUAACACGUAGGAAUCUGCCUAGUAGUUGGGGAUAGCCCGGAGAAAUCCGGAUUAAUACCGAAUACGAUCUACGGAUGAAAGGGGGCCUCUUCUUGAAAGCUCUCGCUAUUAGAUGAGCCUGCGUCGGAUUAGCUAGUUGGUGGGGUAAUGGCCUACCAAGGCAACGAUCCGUAGCUGGUCUGAGAGGACGAUCAGCCACACUGGGACUGAGACACGGCCCAGACUCCUACGGGAGGCAGCAGUGGGGAAUAUUGGACAAUGGGCGCAAGCCUGAUCCAGCAAUGCCGCGUGUGUGAAGAAGGCCUGCGGGUUGUAAAGCACUUUCAAUUGUGAAGAAAAGCUUAAAAUUAAUAAUUUUGAGUCUUGACGUUAACUUUAGAAGAAGCACCGGCUAACUCUGUGCCAGCAGCCGCGGUAAUACAGAGGGUGCGAGCGUUAAUCGGAAUUACUGGGCGUAAAGCGCGCGUAGGCGGUUAUUUAAGUCAGAUGUGAAAUCCCAGGGCUCAACCUUGGAACUGCAUCUGAAACUGGGUAACUAGAGUUUUGGAGAGGGAAGUAGAAUUUCAGGUGUAGCGGUGAAAUGCAUAGAGAUCUGAAGGAAUACCAGUGGCGAAGGCGACUUCCUGGCCAAAAACUGACGCUGAGGUGCGAAAGCGUGGGUAGCAAACGGGAUUAGAUACCCCGGUAGUCCACGCCGUAAACGAUGUCAACUAGUCGUUGGACCCCUUGAGGGUUUAGUGACGCAGCUAACGCAUUAAGUUGACCGCCUGGGGAGUACGGUCGCAAGACUAAAACUCAAAGGAAUUGACGGGGGCCCGCACAAGCGGUGGAGCAUGUGGUUUAAUUCGAUGCAACGCGAAGAACCUUACCAGGUCUUGACAUGUACGGAAGGUCUUAGAGAUAGGACUGUGCCUUCGGGAACCGUAACACAGGUGCUGCAUGGCUGUCGUCAGCUCGUGUCGUGAGAUGUUGGGUUAAGUCCC
rnacentral:rRNA from 1 species